AUUGAACGCUGGCGGCAUGCCUUACACAUGCAAGUCGAACGGCAGCACGGGAGCAAUCCUGGUGGCGAGUGGCGAACGGGUGAGUAAUAUAUCGGAACGUGCCCGGUCGUGGGGAUAACGUAGCGAAAGCUACGCUAAUACCGCAUACGAUCUACGGAUGAAAGCGGGGGAUCGCAAGACCUCGCGCGAUUGGAGCGGCCGAUAUCAGAUUAGGUAGUUGGUGAGGUAAAGGCUCACCAAGCCGACGAUCUGUAGCUGGUCUGAGAGGACGACCAGCCACACUGGGACUGAGACACGGCCCAGACUCCUACGGGAGGCAGCAGUGGGGAAUUUUGGACAAUGGGCGCAAGCCUGAUCCAGCAAUA
rnacentral:rRNA from 1 species